rnacentral:rRNA from 1 species
AUUCCAGCUCCAAUAGCGUAUAUUUAAGUUGUUGCAGUUAAAAAGCUCGUAGUUGGAUUUUGGGUCGGGGGUACCGGUCCGGUGUUUCACUGUGCACUGGUCUCCCCUUCCUUUCUGCCGGGGACGGCGUUUGCUCUUUACUGAGCGGCGUCGGAGUCGGCGUUGUUACUUUGAAAAAAUUAGAGUGUUCAAAGCAAGCCAUCGCUCUGAAUACAUUAGCAUGGAAUAACAUGAUAGGACUCCGGUCUUAUUUUGUUGGUUUCCGAGACUGGAGUAAUGAUUAAGAGGGACAGUCGGGGGCAUCCGUAUUUCAUUGUCAGAGGUGAAAUUCUUGGAUUUAUGAAAGACGAACUUCUGCGAAAGCAUUUGCCAAGGAUGUUUUCAUUA